rnacentral:rRNA from 1 species
GAUGAACGCUGGCGGCGUGCCUAAUACGUGCAAGUCGAGCGAACGGACGAGAAGCUUGCUUCUCUGAUGUUAGCGGCGGACGGGUGAGUAACACGUGGAUAACCUACCUAUAAGACUGGGAUAACUUCGGGAAACCGGAGCUAAUACCGGAUGAUAUUUUGAACCGCAUGGUUCAAAAGUGAAAGACGGUCUUGCUGUCACUUAUAGAUGGAUCAGCGCUGCAUUAGCUAGUUGGUAAGGUAACGGCUUACCAAGGCAACGAUGCAUAGCCGACCUGAGAGGGUGAUCGGCCACACUGGCACUGAGACACAGUCCAGACUCCGACGGGAGGCAGCAGUAGAGAAUCUUACGCAAUGGGCGAGAGCCUGAAGGAGCAACGCCGCGUGAGUGAUGAAGGUCUUCGGAUCGUAAAACUCUGUUAUUAGGGAAGAACAUAUGUGUAAGUAACUGGGCACAUCUUGACGGUACCUAAUCAGAAAGCCACGGCUAACUACGUG